UUGAAUUGCGCUUCAUUUAAAAAAAUUGUAUUUACUCUAUGAGUCCGGUAACAUGGAAUCGGUAAAAUGUAGUGUCAAAUGGAAUCAAAAAACUAAACCACGCUGCGAAUUGUUUCAUUUUCCACCAAUUGCUUCGGCUAGUUUUGAAUUUUGACAACGACAUUUUCGACUGUGCCUGGCCUGAGAAGCUUCUUCCUCUUGGACGAACAUGUUAUUUCCUGAAAAAGUCGGUAUACAAUUUGGUUCGCAUGAAACAAACACAUAUUCAACUUGUUCCCCCUUUACGAGGUUUUUGUGUCGAAAGAGCUUGUUUCCAUCUCUUUCAUCCGCAUAUUGCUUACCUACUGAGAGUGUUGCCAAGCCUAUAUUGAAAACAAAAAUCAAAAAAUGGAACAGCUAAUAAAUGAGUAGUUUGAUGUGUAUUAGAAUUUUUGGCGGAAAUUUUCGCAAAAUUGUUAAUAAUUGCCAAACUGUAUUUAAACUAAUAAACGAAUCAAUGCCUAUGGAAGCCCGGGUUAUCGCCGUGUUCUGUUGCUCUUCGGCCCUCCCCUUUGCUGGAAAAUAUUCUCUUCUUUUAUGAUGGUUAUUUCCGUUCUCUUUCCUUUUAUCUUUGCUAGAAUAUUAUUUGCAUUAGUCGGUUAAAGAACUGAAAAGAACCAUAAAAAUCUCACUCGAACCAGAUGGUAACUAAAUUAUUUGAUCGUAAUGUGUGUAAAAGAAUUACUUUUGUCACUAUUUCUUACCUGCAAUCGGAGGGUAGACCGGCGUUUCCUGUUGUAUUUUGUUUCUUUCUUUCCUACCCGGGCCUGGACAGCUGGCAAGAGUCUGAGAGAAUGUCUACCGGCUUGGUGAGGAGAGUGAGCAUUAUAUAAGCACACGUAAGCACCGUCAAUUCUCACAUUCCAUCGAAGCGUCUACUCGGAUCGUCAUAUCUCGUGAUCACGGUGUGUUAUAAAUCAGUGAAGUGAAGAAGAUAUUGAUUUUUCUCCCCAGUCUGGAGCUGAUCUCUUGAAUUUUAUUAAAAACUAACACAAGACCACCGCAAAGCCAUGCAGCUGACCGAGGCAAAAGUCCUGCUCCAUCGCACCGACCCCAUUUGUUGCCCUAAACUGACGCUUCAGGCGUACUGUUUCUGGCAACAAAUUUAAUAGAAAUUACAGUGGUUGGUAUCUUUGCGAUGUGAAAAGGUGGACGCGCCCAAACACUCAAUGUCGACGCUCGGAAGUAUGGCGCACGUUCUACGGUCAAACGCAUUUUCCUCUGCUAAGGUGGGUCGUCGAAGGAGAUCGAAGCGAAAUCUUCGGUGGAGCUCGGCCGCCUGCCGCACCUUUUUGCUGCCGGGGUAAAUUACUCCGCCAGUGGAACUAGUUCGUAAGGACAGCUGACAUGACGAGACGAGUAAAAUAAGAUGAUUUUAUAAAUGUGUGUGACAAUAAAACAAUUCAAAAGUGA